rnacentral:rRNA from 1 species
GGCGGCCACCGCUAUUGGAAUUCGAUUAAGACAUGCGAGUUGAGAGUCGUAAGGACUCGGCGAACCGCUCAGUAACACGCGGAUAACAUGCCCUUGGGUGGAGGAUAAUCUCGGGAAACUGAGGAUAAUACUCCAUAGAUCUACUAUGCUGGAAUGCUUGUAGGUCCAAAACUCCGGUGCCCAAGGAUUGGUCUGCGGCGUAUCAGGUUGUAGUGGGUGUAACGGACCCACUAGCCAGUGACGCGUAAGGGCCUUGAAAGAGGGAGCCCUGAGAUGGACUCUGAGACAUGAGUCCAGGCCCUACGGGGCGCAGCAGUCGCGAAAACUUCACAAUGGGGGAAACCCCGAUGAGGGAAUUCCAAGUGCCAGCACAUUGUGUUGGCUGUUCCCCUGUCUAAAA